GAUUCCGAUAGUGAUAGUGGUGUACUGUGUUGGUGGGGGGACGUCUCGCCCUCGAGAGCUUUUCUAAAAUCACUGACACUGCAGGGCGGCGGUGCGCCGUGACGUCACAGCCCAGCAGCAGCAGCAGUCUCUCGGUCAGCAAAGCUUGGAGCAGAAGACAGUGAAAGGACAGAGGACACUGAGCGUGUGGACUUGUCUUGACCAGCGCUGCACAGAUUCUGAUAAUUCUGUAGAAUCUCAAAGCACUGCAUGAUGUAUGUCAAGAUCUGAAGCAGAAAAUGGCUCAUUUAUUUCAAAGAAAUCUGAGCUUGGUGCAGGUUGUAUGGAGGGAUUGGCUGGCUUGUUGCUAAGAGUCAAAGUGCAGUAACUCAUCCGAGGGACAGGGCAUUCCCACACUGCUGAAUAGAGCACGCACCCCGUUAAGCAGAGAGAGAUACACAAGGCAGAAAAGCGUGUCGCAGCUUGUUGAAAUAUCAUGGGAAAUUGCACAAGUGCACCUGUACCAAGCUCCCUGGAUAUGCUUGAGUGAAUUCACCACAAUGUUUUGUGCAUUAUUUUUGUGCAGUAUUUAUGAUUUAACUCAGGACUUUGUAGUGGGUGGUCCAGUUAUUAUUUUUCAAAACAGUGUCUGGGACCCCAAAAGGACCACAAGGGGGUGCAAGGAGGUCAGUAGAAACGUUUAGAGAACAGAAUAAAUAGUGGAAAAAAGUUCUAUUUAGCAUUGUUGUUGUUUUAUUCUGCUUUAUCAAGACUGGUUAUAAACUACAAGAAUGUGUUAAUUUUAUUUAUGCAAAAUAAACUGAAUAAAAAUCUAAAUCAAAUACAGUUGAUUGGGAAUGCAGUCAUGUAAAGACAGUUCUGGGAGGAAUUAUACGGAACCACAUUGACAACAGAUUUCUGAAUUACCAAAACAGCGUUUCCGAUGCUUUGCAACAAGAUUUUUCCACUGGUUAGUACAGUAGGCCGUCCCAUUGCACAAAGUCACAUGAUUUUUUUGAUGUGCACUGAGGUAAACGUGUUUCCAUCGUAGUUUGUAUGCAUGUUUUCUUAUCGGAUAGAAAAUUUAUCCGACUCAAACGAGCACAUAAGUUCAUGCACAUUUUUAGAAUUUAUGCGCAUCUUGCCGUUUCCAGCAGUUUUUGAUGCGAUAUCCCAAAAUGCGCAUAAAAUAUUCAUAGUUUUCUGAUGUCAUCAUGCAGUGAUAUAACUGUGCAUUUCUUUUCUAAUAAUGCUACCUUCAUGUGCUAUCGAAAAUUUGACAACUCUCACUUCUGAAGUCUUGAUUACAAGUUCAUCACAUUCAAGUUUUGAAAUGGGAGGGCGUUCAUGUGCAAUUUUUACCUAGGAAACUCUAUGAUUGAUAAAACAAUAAUUAUCGUAGAUAAUCUAUGAAACAUUCAAAGUCAUUUGUUAAUGCAUAUUGCUGAUUAUUGCCUUUCAUUCACUUAAGAUGGAGUUUGUGGUCACAGUUUAAUUUGCGGAUCCUUUAUGUCGAAUACGACUGACCAGUAUUGAGUAGCCUACAUCUUGCAUUGUAUCGUCAACUCACUCAUCAGACUCCAUGGUAAUACUC